rnacentral:rRNA from 1 species
AAGUCGAACGGACUUUAUAUGAAGCCUAGCGAUUAUAAAGUUAGUGGCGGACGGGUGAGUAACGCGUGAAUAACCUGCCCUGUACCGGGGGGCAACAGCUGGAAACGGCUGCUAAUUCCGCAUAAGCGCACGGUUCCGCAUGGAACAGUGUGAAAAACUCCGGUGGUACCGGAUGGAUUUGCGUUUGAUUAGCCAGUUGGUGGGGUAACGGCCUACCAAAGCAACGAUCCGUAGCCGGCCUGAGUGGGUGAACGGCCCCAUUGGGACUGAGACCCGGCCCCAACUCCUUCGGGAGGCAGCCGUGGGGAAUAUUGCCCAAUGGGGGAAACCCUGAUGCAGCGACGCCGCGUGAGUGAAGAAGUUAUUUGUAACGUAAAGCUCUAUCAGCCGGGAAGAAAAUGACGGUUCCUGGCUAAGAAGCCCCGGCUAACUACGUG